rnacentral:rRNA from 1 species
UGUUCCCUACGGGAGGCAGCAGUGGGGAAUAUUGCACAAUGGGGGGAACCCUGAUGCAGCGACGCCGCGUGGGUGAAGGAGUACUUCGGUACGUAAAGCCCUAUCAGCAGGAAAGAAAAUGACGGUACCUGACUAAGAAGCCCCGGCUAACUACGUGCCAGCAGCCGCGGUAAUACGUAGGUGGCAAGCGUUGUCCGGAUUUACUGGGUGUAAAGGGCGUGUAGCCGGGCUGACAAGUCAGAUGUGAAAUCCGGGGGCUCAACCCCCGAACUGCAUUUGAAACUGUUGGUCUUGAGUAUCGGAGG